rnacentral:lncRNA from 1 species
GGGCAAUAGCAUGAGGACCCUUUCCCUCCCCAUCUCCCAAGGAAAUAGCCCAUGGAGGCAGAGUGGAGCAGGGAAAAGAAACAGAUCAGUAAAAUGACCUGAGGGAGAAAUUACACCCCCACCUGCUUCACUUAUCUAUCUAUCUAUCUAUCUAUCUAUCCAUCCAUCUAUCUAUCUAUCCAUUUAUUUAUUUUUUAAAAAAAAUAUACCACUUAACUAAUUGCCCCAUAAGGGUGUUUGAGUAAUAAAACGCAGAAAAGAUUUUUAAAAAUGAUUAAAAUGAGAUUUCUGUCAAAAUGCUCGCUGGAAUUUUUUUUUAAAGGUUUUGGGCAGGUGCCAGAAGUUCAGCAGGGAAGAGGACCUGUCUGACCUCAACUGGAAGGAAGGGUUGGGCCUACAAUACUGACUGCGCAGCUCCUGGUGGAUAAGGGCCAUAAAUCUGAGUAAAACCAGCCCUGAGGCUGGUGGCAGUCAGGGGGGCUUAUCUGAUCUCCAGCUGCUGGAGGCACUGCUAGGAGCAGGUGAAGCAGUGACAACUUUGGCAAAGGAGCAGUUUCCAGUGUUUCCACCUUGCAGCCACCUUGCUCCUCUUCUUCCCAGUAAGCUGCAGUGACGCAUAAGAUGCUCUGCCAACCGCUACUGCCUGUGGCUAUGCUACAUUUAGUUAAAAUUUGGCCUCAAGCCUUCUAGUUAUGGGGAAUGAAAAAAAAGAAGCCCGAAAUAAACUACUGACUGGAAACUAGCUACAUUUGAUUUAAUACAGAAUUCCUGAAAUGUUUAUUGGUGUUUUUAUAUAAGUAUUCAGCGCCAUAUUGCCAUGUCACACCAGAGAAGAAGCGCAAAUGCUUUUAUUUAUUUAUUAGUUUGUUUUCAAAGAGUGCAGGCAUUUCUUUUCUGGUUUUUGUUUUAUUUUUGCAGUGGGGGUGGGAUUGUUUUAUGUUGUCACAAUCUGCAAUAUCCCCGCAUUGCUGGAGUCUAUUAAGAUGACACCGUGGUCAGAUCUGUUCGAACUGUUGUGAUAAAUCCUUGGAGAAGGCUCGUGGGGGAAAGAAAGGGAAGCAAGAAAAGAAAAUGAGCAAAGCAAGAGCUGUUAAGAGUGAGGAUGUUUUCAAAAAGUAGGUCAGAGUUUAACUUUCUUUUAAAACAAAGAGGUCAUAUUCAUGGGACAGUCUCUAUCUCCCACCCUCUUCCCCUGGGGUUGAGAAGUGUAACCAUCACUUUUGCUUCCAGAGAUCAUCAUGUGUGACAUCGCUUAAUGUUUGUUGGUGUAAGGCUUUAAAACUGGACCAGCUUUAACUUGAGUUUGUUGGCCUUCAUAACCAAGCAAAGAAGACAACUUCACAUCUUCUCAAGGAACUUGUUCCAUUGCCUACUUAUUGGAGCUACAAUGUUCACUCAGUUUAUUAGACCAACAUGAUUUUCUUAACCAGGUGACAAUCCUACCAGUUACUGUUUCAGUUAGGGAAAAUGCCUAAUAUAGUCAACUUAAAGCUUGCCACCACAGAGUGUCUUACCCAUAAAGGCACAUUCUACUUAUUUUAAUAGGAGCGUUGCAUGCAAAGAUGGAGAUUUGCAUUGUAAAGCGGUUUACAAUACUUCGUGUUAUGGCUUUGAAACAAAAAUUGCAUUUGGUUCUAGUGUUUCCUAGGAGAGUUUAACCAACCUAUGCUUCCCCCUGUCUUUUUCCAGUUGGCUGAAUAUUUAUCAUUUUGUAAAUCAGAAGUUUAGUAUGGACUGAAGGAAUAGAGUCCUAGAAGGCUGCUCAGAGGCAUCAUAAGUAGUCUGCUUUUCGAGUCAUCCUGACUUUGAAAAAGAAACAUUAAGGUAUCAUUUACUCCAUUGACCUGACUUUCCAUAGAGAGAACAGUUAAUGAAAGACCCCAUUGUGUGUUCAUACAGUUAAGUACAGACUACUAGAAAGAUUUUAUGGACAUAGCCAUAAAAAGAGCCUGUAGGCCAAAACCGAUCUUACAGUUACUUUUCUGUUAUACAACUGGAAGCACCUGCUCCAUUGCAAUGCCUUUUGAAAACUAUCAUUUUUUAAAGUCCUUAUCUGUACCCAAGCUACCCCCUGUAAUGAUCCACUGUAUUCCAUGCAUGUCUAUAUGUGGGAAGCUAUUCAGAAUUCCCAAGUUAUUAGCUGCGUUGAUAUUUGAAAUAUGGACUUGGAUUCCUGUGCUUAUUUCACAAAAUGAGAUAGAAAAGUCAAUAUAAGGUUGGAUAAUUGAAGAGCCAAUAUAACAGUGGGGGAAUUAAAUACUACAGCUAAGACCACAUUCCUGUGGACACUUUAUUACACACAGUGGGAUUUUACUUCUGAGUAAACAUGCAUAGGAUUGUCCUGUUAAUGGCUCUUCUGUAGUACCAGGAAGCCAUGCUCUGAUAUGUGGGUGGAGCAGGAAAUGAUGUCACAGUAAUGGAAUUGUUGGCUUGUUCGAGUGUAAGGUGUUGGAUUGUUGGAGUGUAAGGUGAGAAUAAUCUUUCUGCCAUUUAUUAGCCAUUUUAUGAUAGGGACCCAAACUGUGAUUUUGGGGGGGAGGUAGUGGUUUGGAUUAUUAGAGUAGACCCAUUGAAAUGAAGAAUUGUUAGUCCUUCUGAUUUCCGUGGGUGUGCUCUAAGCCUGACUAUGUCUGGAUCCAACCCAGAAUAUAGUGCAAGGACAUCUGUUGUUUGUCUGAGCUAUAUUUGAGAAGCAGGGGAGAUUUUGUAGCUUCCUACUGCACUUCUUUGUAAAUCUGUUCUCACCCUAAAUAAGUCUCUUCUGAAGCAUGUUGCUUUCUUGUUUGCCUUUAUUUGUUUUGACAACUUUGCCAACAUGUUAUGGCGGUGUCUGGCUUUCUAAGCUUUUAGUAAAUCUUGAUAGAACUGAAGAUGUACAAAGUAAAGCCAAAAGGAGAAGAUUACGCAGUUCAGUCAAGGACAACAACAACCCCAAACUUGCUAGAUAAAAUAAACUUCAAAUGUGAUGAUACAUUCUGCAUUUCAUAAACUAUUUUAAUCUUGUUCUUUAGGGAAGAUUACAUGGUUCUAGAUUAAUAUAACAAAAUUGUGUGCACGACAAAGAGUUUCCUUACCCAUUGGAUGAUGCUUCUGUGAUUCAUAGGCAUGGAACUUGAUUGCAUAAACACGAUUGCCACCUCUAUCCUCACUUGAAGGGUGAAAUUCACAGCAGCCCCAGUCAAGUGCAAAGAGAGAUCUAAGGGAUACUGCAUACCAUAUCAGUCCUUCAUCAAGCACCUAAUAUUGAACCAUUGAUCUGAAUGGGAUUUAAUUGUGACUCAUUUAUUCUGGCUUGUGCUUGCAGAGAGCAGACAAAGUUUGUCUGUCUGAGGUGUGAUGCACACAUUCAGCAAAGCACACGGGACAGUCCUAUCGGGAUACUACCAGCUCAGAGAUACUUGAGGGGAAUCUUAUCUUUGAAUACUCUCCCGUGUGAAAAUCUUUCUAAAUGCUACAAUGCAUCUCUGGAAUGUUGGAAAGGGCAAAUUCCGUGCUACAGAUUAUCUGGAAAGGGAUGGAAAAAUAAAACUUGCAACUGUAAAUCUAUGGUGAAACCAAUCUUGGAAUCCUGUAUACAGUUCUGAUGAUGGCAUUAAAGGAUAUUGUAGAGCUGAACAAGGGUGGAAAAGGCAGCUGGUAUGAUCAGAGAGUUGAGUCCUCAUUAAGGGUUUUUCAGUUUUAAAAAGAAGCAAUCGUGUUGUGUGUGUGUGUGUGUGUGUGAGAGAGAGAGAGAGAGAGAGAGAGAGAGAGAGAGAGAGAGAUGUGGUUAGCAAAACAAGAGUGGGCCUUUCCUGCAGGGAAGUUUUUAUGACUAUAUACCACAUAUCCCAUUUAGUUUUGUAGGAACUUUAAUAGGACACAUCCCUUCUUCUUGACACUUUUGCUUAGUGUUAAGCUCGAAGUACAAGAGAAGUUCCCUGAAAAGGUGAUUGAUGAUAGAAAAUACAGCAUGUUUGAGGUAAUAAUAAUAAUAAUAAUAAGGCCAACAGAGUUUGAAACAUGCUGUUUCCAUUGAAGCUUUUUAUAUUUCACAUAAAAUUUAAAUCACACAAUCUAUCUGCUCUUUGUUGGAAUUGGGGGUGGGGGGAGAGAGAGAUGCGUUUGCUCAAUAGAGGAGGCCUCUCUUCAGCAUGACAUAGCACAGGUCAAAUGCUUUGGUUCACAAAAAUAUCCUGAAUCACACAAUGGGGUCCGAUUAGGAUUUCUACCUUCCCAUGUUUAAAGUAGCAUGGAGAUACCAGUGCCCCAUCUGACAUGAAGGGUUAACAUUUAAGGUGCAUAAAAUAUAUAGUGGACGCUCAGGUUGCGAAUGUGAUCCGUGCAGGAGGCACAUUCACAACCCACAGCACCACAUCUGCGCAUGCACGGGUCGUGAUUCGGUGCUUCUGCACAUGCGCAAAGUGCUUCUGUGCAUGCACAACCGCCAAAACCCGGAGGUAACCCAUUCCGGUACUUCUGGGUUUGGCGCAGUGCGCAACCAGAAAACACACAACCUGAAGCGUUUGUAACCCGAGGUAUGACUGUAGUGAAAUGUAUAUUGUAGCCUAUAGCAGAUGCUAAUGUUCACCUUCCAAAAUUAAAGUGUAAGAAAUUGUUUCUUCCCCCGUCCCCUAAAUUAGACUUUGAUUAGUUAUUUAUUUAAUUUCUGGAGAUAUUUAAAUCUGCUAACUCGCCGAAAACUCUUCCCUUGCUGUCUAAUAUGUAGUUUGAACAAGAAAACUAAAAGCAAAUGUUGCUCUCAUGCUCUCUCUCUCUCUCUCUCUCUGCUAUACAUUUUUAAUGUCUCUAUGUCUGAUGGUUAUUUUUAAAGGUCUGCUCCAGAUUCUAAAGUAGCCUUAAAACGGCUGUCAACACAUUACGGAAUAAACAGAGUUGCUGCUUUCUCAGAAGUCGAUAGAAGAAAUAGAGCGAAAAUGAAUACAAUUUGUUACAGAUCUGGGUAACGGAGUUUGGCGGUGCAAGGGCAGCCAUAACUGCUAGAGUUGGGGACAGUUAGAAAUUAAUAAAGGGUAGGAUUUAGAGAAUAUUUGGAGUACUGAAGGGAAGAAAUAAAUAAACAAAAACCUAAGACCAAACUA